rnacentral:rRNA from 1 species
AGUGAACGCUGGCGGUAGGCCUAACACAUGCAAGUCGAACGGCAGCACAGUAAGAGCUUGCUCUUACGGGUGGCGAGUGGCGGACGGGUGAGGAAUACAUCGGAAUCUACUUUUUCGUGGGGGAUAACGUGGGGAAACUUACGCUAAUAUCGCAUACGACCUACGGGUGAAAGCAGGGGAUCUUCGGACCUUGCGCGAUUGAAUGAGCCGAUGUCGGAUUAGCUAGUUGGCGGGGUAAAGGCCCACCAAGGCGACGAUCCGUAGCUGGUCUGAGAGGAUGAUCAGCCACACUGGAACUGAGACACGGUCCAGACUCCUACGGGAGGCAGCAGUGGGGAAUAUUGGACAAUGGGCGCAAGCCUGAUCCAGCCAUACCGCGUGGGUGAAGAAGGCCUUCGGGUUGUAAAGCCCUUUUGUUGGGAAAGAAAAGCAGCAGGUUAAUACCCCGCUGUUCUGACGGUACCCAAAGAAUAAGCACCGGCUAACUUCGUG